rnacentral:rRNA from 1 species
GACGAAAAAUGAAUACCAAGUCUCAAGAGUGAACACGUAAUUCAUUACGAAGUUUAAUUCAUUGAGCAUCAAACUUUUAAAUUGAAGAGUUUGAUCAUGGCUCAGAUUGAACGCUGGCGGCAGGCCUAACACAUGCAAGUCGAACGGUAACAGGAAGCAGCUUGCUGCUUUGCUGACGAGUGGCGGACGGGNNNNNNNNNNNNNNNNNNNNGAGUAAUGUCUGGGAAACUGCCUGAUGGAGGGGGAUAACUACUGGAAACGGUGGCUAAUACCGCAUAACGUCGCAAGACCAAAGAGGGGGACCUUCGGGCCUCUUGCCAUCAGAUGUGCCCAGAUGGGAUUAGCUUGUUGGUGAGGUAACGGCUCACCAAGGCGACGAUCCCUAGCUGGUCUGAGAGGAUGACCAGCCACACUGGAACUGAGACACGGUCCAGACUCCUACGGGAGGCAGCAGUGGGGAAUAUUGCACAAUGGGCGCAAGCCUGAUGCAGCCAUGCCGCGUGUAUGAAGAAGGCCUUCGGGUUGUAAAGUACUUUCAGCGGGGAGGAAGGUGUUGUGGUUAAUAACCGCAGCAAUUGACGUUACCCGCAGAAGAAGCACCGGCUAACUCCGUGCCAGCAGCCGCGGUAAUACGGAGGGUGCAAGCGUUAAUCGGAAUUACUGGGCGUAAAGCGCACGCAGGCGGUCUGUCAAGUCGGAUGUGAAAUCCCCGGGCUCAACCUGGGAACUGCAUUCGAAACUGGCAGGCUUGAGUCUUGUAGAGGGGGGUAGAAUUCCAGGUGUAGCGGUGAAAUGCGUAGAGAUCUGGAGGAAUACCGGUGGCGAAGGCGGCCCCCUGGACAAAGACUGACGCUCAGGUGCGAAAGCGUGGGGAGCAAACAGGAUUAGAUACCCUGGUAGUCCACGCCGUAAACGAUGUCUACUUGGAGGUUGUGCCCUUGAGGCGUGGCUUCCGGAGCUAACGCGUUAAGUAGACCGCCUGGGGAGUACGGCCGCAAGGUUAAAACUCAAAUGAAUUGACGGGGGCCCGCACAAGCGGUGGAGCAUGUGGUUUAAUUCGAUGCAACGCGAAGAACCUUACCUGGUCUUGACAUCCACGGAAGUUUUCAGAGAUGAGAAUGUGCCUUCGGGAACCGUGAGACAGGUGCUGCAUGGCUGUCGUCAGCUCGUGUUGUGAAAUGUUGGGUUAAGUCCCGCAACGAGCGCAACCCUUAUCCUUUGUUGCCAGCGGUCCGGCCGGGAACUCAAAGGAGACUGCCAGUGAUAAACUGGAGGAAGGUGGGGAUGACGUCAAGUCAUCAUGGCCCUUACGACCAGGGCUACACACGUGCUACAAUGGCGCAUACAAAGAGAAGCGACCUCGCGAGAGCAAGCGGACCUCAUAAAGUGCGUCGUAGUCCGGAUUGGAGUCUGCAACUCGACUCCAUGAAGUCGGAAUCGCUAGUAAUCGUGGAUCAGAAUGCCACGGUGAAUACGUUCCCGGGCCUUGUACACACCGCCCGUCACACCAUGGGAGUGGGUUGCAAAAGAAGUAGGUAGCUUAACCUUCGGGAGGGCGCUUACCACUUUGUGAUUCAUGACUGGGGUGAAGUCGUAACAAGGUAACCGUAGGGGAACCUGCGGUUGGAUCACCUCCUUACCUUAAAGAAGCGUACUUUGCAGUGCUCACACAGAUUGUCUGAUGAAAA